rnacentral:rRNA from 1 species
GACGAACGCUGGCGGCGUGCUUAACACAUGCAAGUCGAACGCUGAAGCUUGGUGCUUGCACUGGGUGGAUGAGUGGCGAACGGGUGAGUAAUACGUGAGUAACCUGCCCUUGACUCUGGGAUAAGCCUGGGAAACUGGUCUAAUACUGGAUACGACAUGUCACCGCAUGGUGGCGUGUGGAAAGGGUUUUACUGGUUUUGGAUGGGCUCACGGCCUAUCAGCUUGUUGGUGGGGUAAUGGCUCACCAAGGCGACGACGGGUAGCCGGCCUGAGAGGGUGACCGGCCACACUGGGACUGAGACACGGCCCAGACUCCUACGGGAGGCAGCAGUGGGGAAUAUUGCACAAUGGGCGAAAGCCUGAUGCAGCGACGCCGCGUGAGGGAUGACGGCCUUCGGGUUGUAAACCUCUUUCAGCACGGAAGAAGCGAAAGUGACGGUACGUGCAGAAGAAGCGCCGGCUAACUACGUG